rnacentral:tRNA from 1 species
GCCCGGAUGCUGGAACGGUAGACAGGAUGGUCUCAAACACCAUUGUCCGAAAGGGCGUGCGGGUUCGAAACCCGCUCCGGGCAC